UCGUUUACCACGCCGUAACUAGGGUUCGUCUUCUUCUUCUAACGCCUGGUAUCUAAAAUUUUUUCUCUCUGUUAUCUGUCAGCAUCAAUGGUGUCUCGAGUAAUUGGAUUACUGAAAUCGAGUUGCAUAAUCUCUUUGUUUGUCUCCAAUCGCGUCUUAUAGCCUUCACUUCUAAUAAUCCGAAACGUUCCGAGUUAUUCAUCGCAUUUAUCACCUUAUUAACUCCAUAGGUGACGUGAACCACGAUCUGACUUUAAUUGUGAGUUAUACCUCUGAACUACACCUAUAAAAAGCCUGGCCGAGGCUCCUCCACCGUCCAAGUGCCGUUGCUCAGAUUCUGGAAAGCCAGAAAUUUCCGAGUGGAGGGGAACUGAUGUCUCUUGAUAUGCUCUUACUGGAUUCAAAGGUGAACGUGAGCCGACUAGCAACUUACGGGCCUUUUCUCCCGGCCGGUUCAAUGUAUUCUUUCACCGGUUUUGAUGUAACUCAGUGUAAUCAAAACUUCAGGCUCUCGCACUCCUCUCUGCUGAUUCGAUUCAGUGACGCUACCACUCUUGCUAACUGAACCAUCUUCUCCAAUACCUAAAGAAUGUUUCAGGUUCCGUAAUCACAGCGAGAUGCUUGGUCUAGCCAACACCAAUACCCAACUUCCAUGUAUUCCUCCUAUAAUCUGUUCAUCAAUAUAGCUGGAUAUAAGAUAUUAAUAUUAAUCGUCACACAUAUAUUAUUGGUGAGAUAACUGCUGUUAAGAGAAAGUUCUAUUUCGCUUGAAUGGCUAACUCAUCUAUAUUGCUCGCUGAAGGCUGGCCAGAGAUGGGUUCUUCUCUCUGUUUUGGACAGGAAAAUCUGAGGAUUCAGAGGUGCUCGAAACCAAAGGGUAUACCCUCAUCAUUCUCUUCCCGACUAUAUCACCUUUGCCGGAGAUGGGUUCUUCUUCUGUUUUGGAGAGUAGAAACUGAUGAUUCAAAAGUGUUAAAGCUUUGGCUCCGGGAGUAAGUAAGGAACUCCAUCGGCUCAAGAGGCAUCUCCAAUGGCCGGUAAACAAGGUCUUUCUUGCAAAUCGGAACCAUGGCUUUUUCCAUUUUAGACAGAGGUGAAGGAAGUGAGAGAGAAAGUGGAGGUCAAGAAAGAGACGUAUAGUAUUGGGAGGAGACUUUUGUAAUGUGUUUGAUUUUGGCCUUAGUGGAGGUCUUCUUUCAAGAUCACGUUUUGGGUUCAUUUUGUUGCCAUGCAUGCUGUUACUGGUUCUUAUGCGAGACCAAAUUUUGUCGAUUAUCUUGGAGCCAAACCAGAUUCAAUUUCCAAUGGAGUUCCUCUAGAAGAUGGCCAUCCAGAUCCUAAUUUGACGUGAUGGUGACAAAAAUGGUUUUAGGAAAAAAAAUUCUUCAAAUUGCAUAAAGUGCCGUUCGCAUCUCAUAAAGUGCAUGGUGCUCUUGAUCGUGUUGCUGAGAAGUUGAAUCUUUCUUUCUUUGGGGUCAAUCAAUUUUACCAAACAGUGUAUAUACCUGCAUUACAACCAAACUAAUAUAGAUGUAUUUAUCACAUUGUAAAGGAAUAUAUAUAUAAAUAAAAGUAUCAGUGCAUAGAUCAUAUAGAAAGUAUAUGAUAUCUAAUAAGAAUAAACAUAAUUAGUAAAAACUAAUAUUAUUUUAAUUUGAAAACAACAAAAAUUUGAAUGUUCAUUAAAAUUUAACAUGGUUUUUAUUGUUUGCUCACUUGCACACGUGACUGUAA